GUUCCCAGCACAGGGUCCCCCUCGGCCCACAGCCCAGGGGAAGAGCCAGGCACGUUCUCCUCCCGUGCUUCAGCGUCACCUUGCUUUGUGCACACCCGAGAGCUGCACUAAGAAAGGCCCGAGUGGCCACAUGUUGGUCCGUGCGGUCCAUGGUGGUGUUGCACGCGGCCUGCAGAGAGUAUUUGGCAACCUGCCCGUGGCCAGCCAGUGGGUCGCCCUGCCCACCCUGUCGCUGUGGAACUGAUGACCUGGGUCUUUCUCCCAUGCCAGUACCUGGCCCAGCUCCGGUCCUUAAUGGAGAAAGAGAUCACCGCAUUUAAUGGGAACUUCUCUCAUCUGCUUGUGAUUCUAGAUGACUACACUGGUUCACGGAAUCGAGUUGCCUGGCUGGACACGGCUUCUGUUCCGCAGAUGGAACCCAGAGGUAAGUCAGUGCAAGGACAGAGCCUUGCCUUUGGGGCUCCCCCUCCCCUUCUCUUGUCCUCCCCUCUCCAUCCCCUUUCUGUUCUCUUCCCCUCCCCUCCCCGUCUCCAGACAGUUCCACACAUGGAUAGUUGUGUAUUAGUGCACGGUGCCGCUGCAGGCACCCAGCGCCUAUUUUUGAGAUGCUGCUGUGUGGAAGGGAGAGAAGAGUGCUGCGGAGUAAUGCCCUGUUGUUCCCAUCUGGGGGCGGAUAUGGUCGUGUAUGACAGGAGCUGCUCUGUUCUGUUCACAGAUCUGAGUGCAGGUGAAUGGGAUGCAGGAUCCCAGCUGGCUCCCGGGACGGAUGCUGUAUCAGAUGACAUGGGAGUGAGAACACAGAGCUGCGCGUGCGUGCCCUGUCCCUGCACCAUCCCCUGCUGCCAUCUGCUCUUCAGUUGUGCCGUUACGCAGCGACGUAGAUGGCGGUGCGUGAUGGAAAGCUCUCGUGGUUCUUUGGUUGCAGAAGUGCCUCCAGAGAGGGCCGUGCCAAACCCUCAGCAGCUUCCCGCACCGCAGCCCCGCUGGUAUCCCAGGGGUCCCGCGAGACUGACAGGAAAACGGGGAAGAGGAAGAUAUUUGCAAAGGUUUUACCCUCUUGUAAGGAAAAUCCCAGACGAGAAUGCAGUGCCUGGUGGGUGUAUUUCUGUCUGUUCACCGUAA
rnacentral:lncRNA from 1 species